rnacentral:lncRNA from 1 species
GAAGGAGUCGAGCUAUGCCAAAGUCAGAAACACUAGGCUGCCAUUCUGAGUUUAGCAAGAUAUUGCUAGUAGAUACAUCUCUAUGCACUAUUGGAGAGGUGAAAUCAUGAUGAAGAUAUGAUAGAGCAGAUGCAACUCCUUUAAUGGUGUUAACCCUUUUCCUCCAAUCGAAUUUUAUGGCUUCGACAUCAUCAUGCAAGACGGAGAACAAGCUUCCUUUUUCCAUAUACUGAUAGAUCAAAAACAUAACUCUUUUAUGCAAACAAAAUCCAUAAAGCUUCACAAUAUUUCUGUGCUUUAUUUCUGAUAAUAUUUUCACUUCAUUUCUAAAACUUUCAUCAAGAGAUGGCACCUCUGCUUCGUAGCUAUGAAGUUUUUUUAGUGCAACAAAUUUACCACUUGGUAAUUGUGCCUUGUAAACACUUCCAUAUGCUCCUUUUCCAAUGCAAUAUUUAAUGUCAAAGUCUUUUGUUGCUCUAAUGAUGUCAUUGUAUGCUAUUUUGCCAUCAUAAUUCCAUAUACAAAAUAAAUCACCAUUAUUCGUUGUCUCCGUGUUUCCAUGCUUGUUCUUGAUAGAAUUAUGACGACGUUUGAAGUACACGAGAAGUGAGAAGGCUAUGAUUAGAAUAGAAAGGAUAGGAAGAACAAUGAAAACAAUACGCUUUACUUUGCUAUUUUUCUUAUGAGGUUGC